rnacentral:rRNA from 1 species
AGCAGCCGCGGUAAUUCCAGCUCCAAUAGCGUAUAUUAAAGUUGUUGCAGUUAAAAAGCUCGUAGUUGAAUUUCGGGGUUAGUAGGUUGGUCAUGCCACUGGUAUGUACUGGUCUCACUGAUUCCUCCUUCCUGAUGAACCGUAAUGCCAUUAAUUUGGUGUCGUGGGGAAUCAGGACUGUUACUUUAGAAAAAAUUAGAGUGUUUAAAGCAGGCUCGCGCUUGAAUACAUUAGCAUGGAAUAAUGAAAUAGGACGUUUGAUUCUAUUUUGUUGGUUUCUAGGAUCGAUGUAAUGAUUAAUAGGGAUAGUUGGGGGCAUUAGUAUUCAAUUGUCAGAGGUGAAAUUCUUGGAUUUAUUGAAGACUAACUACUGCGAAAGCAUUUGCCAAGGAUGUUUUCAUUAAUCAAGAACGAAAGUUAGGGGAUCGAAGACGAUCAGAUACCGUCGUAGUCUUAACCAUAAACUAUGCCGACUAGGGAUCGGAUGAUGUUAAUUUUUAAUGA